rnacentral:ncRNA from 2 species
UUCAUACGUAAGGAUGUUGGUGCCUGAGUAAGGCUUAAAAGGGAAUCUGGUUAGAAGCCAGAACUGUCCUCGCAACUGUAUGUGUUGACGAAAAGGAAGCUCCACUGUGCGAAAUGCAUGGGAAGGAUCCUAAGUAGGCAGACGCACAAGUCAGUAGACCUGCCAAAUCCUAUGUUUCAAA